AAGGUGGUUGUUUUGAAUCAUGGAGGGGGCACCUGGAAAUAUGUUGAAACAAGCAAGUCUAGGAGCAACACUUAGAAGCAGAAAGAAGAUGCAUUGGUAGAAUGGGCUCCUUUGAUCAUGGACUGAUAUUGGGUCUGUGGAGUGUGUGUAUGAGUGUGUCUCUCCCUUACAGAAUAAAGACCAUCAAGUGUUCUGGGAUGAAUAACUUAAUCAACAUAGCCAUCAAGUUUUUAUGUCUGCUACAGCUCACAGCAGGAAGCACUGUCUACAUACAGAAAACAGGAUCUUGCUGUAGGCAUGGGUUUAAAACAAAAGGAUACUGAUUAAAGAAAAAAGACUGCUCUUUUUGAUCUUAAAAUUAUUGAUCUUGUCAAUCAGUUACAGACUCAGAGUGCCCAUUUAAAUCUGUAAUAACUAUUACUGUUACCACCAUAAUGCUGACCAUUUUAAAAGUCAAAGAAAUCCAUACAAUAAUGUAAAGUGAUGUUAAUUUUGCUGUGCAAGUUCCUUCACUAUAUCAAUAAGUAUUCCAUUUACAAAUAUCAGAGCUGCAGAGAGUCCAUAGAAAUUAAAAGUGUAAAAAUAAGUGAAGUAGCUGACUUCUAGAAAAGUGUGUUAAUUACAGAUACUCUUUAAGCCAACAAAUAUACAUUCUCUGCCUGCUGACACCAAAUAAUAAGCCCAAUUUUAUCAAGCUAUAAGCCCAAAGUACAGUUCUUGACCUUCCCGUAUGCAGCCAAACCAACUGCUUGUUAAACCAACCUGGUAACCCUCCUUACUUACACAAGGCAAUCUUAUUUCCUGUUAUGUUUCCUCCAUCCUGUAGAAGUCUUCCAUAUUUACUAUUCUUGUUGUAUGGUUAGCACCUUUAAACUCACUCAAAUGUGAAAAACAACAACAAAAAUGGAUUGAUUUAGUAAAGAAACAUGUGCAUUCCACAUGA